ensembl:lncRNA
CAGGACUCUGGUAUUACAUUACAGCUGCUGCCUGGUUAUACAUCCGUGUGAAUAGGAGGAAAUAAAUACACGUGAAGAAAUACCAGAAGGACCAAAAAAUGGGGCCCAACAUUGGCAAUUUCUUGUUUGGGUCUUGGGGUGGGUGAAGCAUUGGCACUUGGACCUGACCAACCAUGGAAGCAUCUCAUCUCGAUCUGAGAGGAGGGAAGAAAUGCAACCUCUGGAGCAUGCCCAGGCUCUGGGCCCUGGGAACUUGGCAGGCUGCUGGAGAGGUCAGAAAGAGCCUGGGGCAGAAAGCUUCACUCUGAGAUGCGAGUGAAUGUGGAUGAGGAAUUCUAGAUGAGUCACAGCGGUCGGAGCGGACCCAGAGGAGAUGGAGGCGAGGUCAACCACUGUGCUUUGCCGCAUCCUUUCUGUCGGAGGAGACAUCUGCUAAAACCAGCUGUGGCAGCGGCUUGUGAGUGAUGGAAGGCUGGACUCAAGACUGCAAUUCAGCUCAUUAAAAGCACCCCGGGGGCUGCUAUGGUUAUUUGCCCCCUGUAGUGCUGGCAUUUUUCAGGCCAGGUCAGAACUCAUUGCUCCAGGCUCUGCGCUCUCUCCAGGCUCUCCCCAUCCUUUGUCCGAAGGCACGUCUUUAGUCUGUUCCUCGUUUUAUCCACCACCUCGAAGGCAGAGACCUGUGUCUGAGCAGACUCCCAUCCCCUGCCCUGAACAAAUGUGGUCAGCGUGAAACGAAGCCCAGAGCGGCAGCGCGUUCCCCUGUGAGCAGACGGAAAGUUUCAAAGGCACAAAGGGUAUUUAGGCACUGACUUCAAAGUCAGUAAGUUGGAUGCUGAAAAAAAAUCUCCCCCGUAGCCUUUAUGUCAUGCCACUUAAUAAGUAAUUAAAAG